CUCCACAGGAAACUGAGCACGAAGACCAAAGACCCCACUGGCCCCAACCACCAUCGACAUAGCAGCCGGGGAGCGAGUGACAAUGCAAAACCCCAGCUUGGCAGGAACUGAGAAGCAGGAGCACUUGGAGAAAAGCCAUGAUGGGAUGGGGAGUACAACUCUACAGAAGACGGCCUGAACCUCAGAACUGCUGGGCAGACAUGCUCACCACGACACAAUUAAAAAAAAGAGCCUCUAACCAGCAGCUGAGCUGUUUUCGUAUUUGCAGCGACACUCCUCCCUGGAUACGCACACGCCAUCCUGCAGAACCAUGUCACCGGGGCAACCGCAGGUCUUGCUGCAUCCUGG